UAAAUGGUCUGCCACCCAGAUCAACGGUUUAGAUCAGAUGUUCUGCCGAGCAGACGCCGCGGUCUGCCAAUUGUCCUAGCGCUCCGCGUCCCGGAUUGAUUCCACCCGAAUCGCGUUGACGAGCUGUUUAUCCCGCUAAUUUCUCUGCUCCAGGCCUCACGCUCGAUCUCCCUCCCAAUUAAUCUCAUCUUCUCUUCCGGAGCGCCAGGCUUGCUUGCCCGAUCUGGCACCGUCCGCCGCCGCUGGGCCUCGCCUAGACCACGCGUCGCCGGCGCUGCCGGCUGUCCGCCCAAACGCCUCCCUCUCCUCUCCCGUUUCUCUCCUUCGCCCGCUGCCGUCGUCCGUCCGACCGGCCGCCGCGCCACGCGCGCCGCCGCACCGGUGCGUCGCCUGCCGAAGCAUGCUCUCACGCCGGCGACCUGCGCCGCCCCACCGCCGGCCCUCCUGGACGCCAUCUUCACCACCGUUCCUCCUAUCCGCCGUCGCACCGGUGCAUCGCCCGCCGGAGCAUGCUCUCAAGCCAGUGACCUGCGCCGCCCCACCGCCGGCCCUCCUCGACGCCACCUUCACCACCGCUCCUCCUAUCUGCCGCCGCCCCACGCACGCCGUCACCACACACCUCUAGCCGGCGGCCUCUCCUUACGCGUGUGUCGCGGGUCGACGCCUGCCGCUCCUCUGUGGUCUCGCCUGAUAGCCCUGUCAGAUGCGGGGAGGAGGACGAGGUCGCCGCAGAGAGGUCGCCCCGCCUGCUACCGGAUCCGCUCAUGGACAUCGUGCCGCGCAUCGACGUCGGCACCAAGCAGUGCCUCCCGCUCCGAAUGCGUCAGGCAAACCGCUCUGAAUCGUGCAGUGAUAUUUUGAUCUAAUUGUUCCAGAGGUACGCAGUUGCUUUUCUCUGCUAAUAACAUCUUGGAGGUGGCAUGCCUUUGGUGAAGGAAUUGGAAGCUGGCGUUGGUUUUAUUAGAGGAUCCGUCCAGGUCAGACGUUCUUAUCACUAAAUAUGGUGAACGGGGGUCUGAAAUGGGAACUGUCAAUUACAGGCAUGCGUAUUGUUUGACAUUCUUCAGAAGUAGUGCUAGGCAUGCGUAUUGUUUGACAUUCUUCAGAAGUGCCAUUUCCUGUCAAGUUGAAUGAGAUGCUAUUGACAUCUACCAUCUGAAAAAAAGGAGAUUGGUUUGUGUUGUGCAAUUGGGUUGACUAGGCUUUUAUUAAUUUUACAUUCAGGAAGAUAUGCUCCUCCGCGUGAGCCACACCAAUCUCAAAGGCCUCUUCCACUGUCGUCAAAGGUACUUCAUCAUGCUUGCUACUAUAAGGAAGGAAGUGGAACCACGGUUCAUAAAUAAUAAGAUUUUUCUGUCUGUUUUUUAUUCACACUGUACUGCAACGGUUAUCUACUUGCAAUCAACCACUACAUCUAAUGCUUCCUAGAUCUGGAACGUCAAGGUGUGGUUUCCUUGUUUUUCACUAUUCCAUUUGACGCUUCAUUUUCAAAAUACAUGAAAAUUCCUUGGAGAAAUGUCUACUUUAUCUACAACAAUUAUCGCUACUGUCUUAUUGAAGAACUGAUUCCAGCGACUAGAUUGUGACAUGAUGAAAUGCCCCCUCUAUCUUCAAGGAUUGCUAGGAAUAUUUUUGGUAUUUUGGUAAUGCUAUUGGAGUGAGUUUGCAACGCCUAUUUGAUAAUGAUCAUUGCGUGAUUUUUUCAGUCAGAGAGAGAUUUGUGCCAAAAACAAAUGCACAAAUACCAAAUUUUCGAACCCUCUUGAAAUUAAUGUAUUUGGUUAAAUGACACCGUUGUAUGGCAUUAUUGUACAAAGACGUGAUGCUGGAUCAUGCGAACAAACUUAGUGGUGUAUAUACUUGCAUAGGCAAUUUGUGAAGCUUACAUAUUUGAUAUUUGAGAUGAUGUUUUUGAUGGUAUAUCAUUUGUUAUGUUGAUGCAAAUAACCUUGACAUAUGCCUAUUUUAUUGACUGUUUUUUUUCAGAAUUUUUUGUCGACCUAUUAAAUUUCCCAAUCUUUUUGCAGUGAUGUGCAUCUAAUAAAUUUUCUCAAAGAAAAAAUGACUGUUAUAUGUCAGCUUGUCAGUUCAGACGAUCAGAGGAGCAUCUUCAUCUUAUCAUAUCUUUGCCUGUAGUGCCCAAUAUUGCUAUGUUAUGUCUAUAGUUGAAGAUGUAGCUGCACAGUGAUUUCUUAUGGCCUUCUCAAUUUCAGUUAUUACUUCAGAUUUUGUCUGAUAUUUGGCUGAGCAAAAAUUAUAUCCAUCAGAUAGCUUGCUAUUUCCCCAGUGGUGCAGAUUUUCUCUGAAAUGAUAUAUCAGCUAAACAUUCUGGAUAUGCGUGUGUUCUUGCAAAUGUACUCAAAGCCUCAACCUAGAUUUUGUCGGAACCAAAGUUCACUUCUGAUAGAGUACGUGUUCUGCCUAUACCUUUUCGGUUGCUACAUGAUUUUGUUUGGGUACUGAGUAUAUAGCAUGUUAAAAAGGGCAAAAUGUUUAAAAAUAUUUUAUAAUUAGGAACAAGAUCAAUUUCGUUCAUUUACAUGAAAACAUUCUUUGCAAGUUCCCCUGCUCUCACAAAAGGAACACUCUGGUAUACUUCCAAAAGCAUUACAUAGGUUAUGACAUGGCACUUAGGUCACUAAGCCCCCAGUGUUUUAUUUUGUACUCUUGUUUAUUCUCUUCCAAUUUUUGAGCCAAGGUCAGCAGUAAAAUGUAUCUAGUCCAUAAUAAUUGUUCUUUACACAACAAACACAAUACAGUUUUAUUUUCCUUCCCGAUUUAUAAUUUGUAUUCCUUGCAAAAAUGACAUGGAACUAUAGAUUAUUCUUGAACCAUAAUAAUGUGCAUAAUGGUGCUACAAUCCGGCACUGUUGUUAUUUCAUAUUAGUUAGUAUAGUAUGAACAGUAUGCAGUUUUGUUUCCUUGGAACCAAGUAGGUACCUGGAGUUUUAUUGCUUGGGAUGUGUAACCUACUCUGAACAUGUAACUCAAUCACACAUGUUUGGAGCAAAGCAUUUUUUUUCAUGUCUAUGCACUUAGUUUGGUACAGUUUUGAGAUUUCAUGUCUAACUUACUUUCACAUUUUGUUGUAUAAUAUGGAUCCAGAGCCUAUGACCAAGUUUCUGUCUGUGUGUUACUUGACUAUCAAUCUGUGUGACGAAAUUGACUAAGGUGCUGUUGUACGUAAUGUGUUUUUGUUAAGUCUGUUUGUAUGGUUGAGAAGUCCAUUGCGUGUGCAUGUUCGGCGGGAGACAUGGUGCUCAUAUGGAAAGAAAAAUAUCUGCAAAGCUAUAUUUAGCUCAAAUUAAGAUUGGAGUUACAUUAUUGCACUUGAUCAUUUUAUUGAAAUAAUUGUCUCCUAACUAGGAUAAAUUGGAAAAUUUCUUUUUGCGAUUAUACGUGCGUUGCACGUGCAUGAUUACUAGUUGGUAACAAAAGAAAGAGAGAGAAAAAAAACU